rnacentral:rRNA from 1 species
GACGAACGCUGGCGGCGUGCCUAAUACAUGCAAGUAGAACGCAGUUGCGAACGGGUGAGUAAAGCGUAGGUAACUGCCUCAUAGCGGGGGGUAACUAUUGGAAAAGAUAGCUAAUACCGCAUACUGUGAGAUGGACGUGCGUUGUAUUAGCUAGUUGUGGUGGUUAAGGCUCACCAAGGCGACGAUACAUAGCCGACCUGGGAGGGUUAUCCGCCAAACUGGGACCGGGAACCGGGCCCAGCCCCUUCGGGAAGGAGCAGGUGGGGAUCAUCGGCAAUGGGCGGAAAGCUUACCGAGCAAAGCCGCCGGAUUGAAGAAGGUUUUCGGAGCGGAAAGCUCUGUUGUUCGAGAAGCGGUAACUAACCAGAAAGCGACGGCUAACUACGUGCCAGCAGCCGCGGUAAUAC